CUAAGGCAAACCACUGCCUUAGUUGAAAUGAGUGCUGUCUCGUGCCCUCUGCUCCCCAUCCUUACAGAACAGAGCCUGUUGUGUGGAACCUGUUCAGGCUGGAGAUGGUGGAAAGGCUAAAGUUCAAGUUCACAGACCCAAAAUGUGUUUGAUGAAAAGAGCAAAUCAGAGAUCUCCCAAUUAUCCGUGUGGCUGCAGGGAACCAUAGCAGCGGUGUUACACAG